rnacentral:rRNA from 1 species
AUACGGAGGGUGCAAGCGUUGUCCGGAUUUAUUGGGUUUAAAGGGUGCGUAGGCGGCUGUUUAAGUCAGUGGUGAAAGACUCCGGCUCAACCGGGGCAGUGCCAUUGAUACUGGACAGCUUGAGUGUUGGAGGGGUACAUGGAAUUGAUGGUGUAGCGGUGAAAUGCAUAGAUACCAUCAGGAACACCGAUAGCGAAGGCAUUGUACUGGCCAACAACUGACGCUGAUGCACGAAAGCAUGGGUAGCGAACAGGAUUAGAUACCCUGGUAGUCCAUGCCGUAAACGAUGAUUACUCGCUGUUAUGUCUAUAUGAUGUAGCGGCCAAGCGAAAGCGUUAAGUAAUCCACCUGGGGAGUACGCUCGCAAGAGUGAA